AUAAACAGCCCAAAUACCCUAAAGGCACCAGAUUCCAUCCGAUCUUGAAAACUAAGCAAGGUCAGCUCUGGUUGGAAGUUGGAUGGGAGACCAGCAACAAAUAUCAGAUGCUGUAGGCU
rnacentral:rRNA from 1 species